rnacentral:tRNA from 1 species
GGGGGCGUAGCUUAGCGGGAAAGCGCCUGCUUUGCAUGCAGGAGAUCGUCGGUUCAAAUCCGACCGCCUCCA